AAUAGAUACCCGGGUAGUCCACGCCGUAAACGAUGAGUGCUAAGUGUUAGAGGGUUUCCGCCCUUUAGUGCUGCAGCUAACGCAUUAAGCACUCCGCCUGGGGAGUACGGUCGCAAGACUGAAACUCAAAGGAAUUGACGGGGGCCCGCACAAGCGGUGGAGCAUGUGGUUUAAUUCGAAGCAACGCGAAGAGCCUUACCAGGUCUUGACAUCCUCUGACAACUCUAGAGAUAGAGCGUUCCCCUUCGGGGGACAGAGUGACAGGUGGUGCAUGGUUGUCGUCAGCUCGUGUCGUGAGAUGUUGGGUUAAGUCCCGCAACGAGCGCAACCCUUGAUCUUAGUUGCCAGCAUUUAGUUGGGCACUCUAAGGUGACUGCCGGUGACAAACCGGAGGAAGGUGGGGAUGACGUCAAAUCAUCAUGCCCCUUAUGACCAGGGCUACACACGUGCUACAAUGGGUGGUACAGAGGGUUGCCAAGCCGCGAGGUGGAGCUAAUCCCUUAAAGCCAUUCUCAGUUCGGAUUGUAGG
rnacentral:rRNA from 1 species